AGAGGAGGCUGCGACGCUGCCGGGUCCGCCGCGGCGCUGGCGGCAGUGGCCGGUGUGAGCGCAGAGCCGGGCCCUGGGCAGCAGCGGCAGCGCGGUAGGACCUCGCGCAGCGUCCGCGGGCUCCGGGGCGGGGGCGCCAGCGGCGAAGCCCCCUCCCCGGGGAGGCGGGACCUGGGGGAGCUCCCGAGCCGGGGAGCGGCGGCGGCCGGGAACGAUGCAUCAGAAGCUGCUGAAGAGCGCGCAUUACAUCGAGCUGGGCAGCUACCAGUACUGGCCGGUCCUGGUGCCCCGUGGCAUCCGCCUGUACACCUACGAGCAGAUCCCCGGGUCCCUCAAGGACAACCCGUACAUCACCGACGGCUACCGGGCCUACCUGCCGUCCAGGCUGUGUAUCAAAAGUUUGUUUAUUUUAUCUAAUGAGACAGUAAACAUCUGGAGUCAUUUGCUGGGUUUCUUUCUCUUCUUCACCCUGGGAAUAUAUGACAUGACAUCUGUGUUACCUUCAGCAAGUGCGUCCAGAGAAGAUUUUGUAAUUUGUUCUAUUUGUCUUUUCUGCUUCCAGGUCUGUAUGCUUUGCUCUGUGGGCUAUCAUCUUUUUUCCUGCCAUCGGUCAGAAAAAACAUGUCGAAGAUGGAUGGCAUUAGAUUAUGCAGGAAUUUCUAUUGGAAUACUGGGCUGCUAUGUCUCAGGAGUAUUUUACGCAUUUUAUUGUAAUAACUACUGGCGUCAGGUGUACUUGAUCACAGUGCUUGCUAUGAUCCUGGCAGUGUUCUUUGCGCAGAUUCAUCCCAAUUACCUCACGCAGCAAUGGCAAAGGCUCCGUUCUAUCAUCUUUUGUUCUGUUUCGGGAUAUGGAGUGAUUCCUACUCUUCACUGGGUUUGGCUCAAUGGAGGAAUUGGUGCUCCUAUUGUACAGGACUUUGCACCCCGUGUAAUUGUGAUGUAUAUGAUUGCUCUUCUUGCUUUCCUAUUCUACAUUUCCAAAGUCCCAGAGCGGUACUUUCCAGUUUGGAGAGCUAUGAGUCAGGGAGCAGUUUAAAUCUAAACUGCAAAUUUAUCCCCUCUUCUUCCUGGGUUAAGAAUCACUUCCACGGUGAAUCAGAGAAGGGAUUGUACCACUCGUCACGUGUGUUGGGAAAGAAGAAAGGGUGAGAAACCCUGGCCUAAACAAUCCAUCCCACAGAUCCUCAGGCAUUCCUUUGUGUACUUGGUUUUUCACCACUGAGCUUUAAAUAAGAAUGGAAAUACAAGGGAAAACCUGCGUUGUAAACAUGAGGAUUUGGGAACAGAUCUAGGACAUGCCACUGAAUUGAAGACCACCCAUCUUCCAGGCAGGGCCAGAAUUACAGAAAACAAUUCUGGACAACUAAACUACCUCGGAUCAAGCCACCAAAUAUGGCAUAUCCUUGCAGUAGUGAUGUUAUAUUGGUGGCAUCAGUCAACAGUGUAUGUCAUGCAGUACAGACAUAGCAAGCCUUGUCCUGACUAUGUUUCACAUUUGUGAAUUAGGUAUGGCCACCUGGUGAAUUCAGUUGUUAAGCAAUAUAUAAUGGGGAAUUGUAUACCCCACUAUUUCUAAGAUUCCCAUUAGUUUUCCCUUUUUCCUUUUUAAUAUGAGUAAUGCUUUAUAAAAAUGGGAAAAAAAGUAUACUUAAGGAUCUGUAGUAAUAACUGCUUUACAAAAUCCUUAAAACUACUAAUUUGCUGCUUGUACAGAAAGUGAAAAUUAGUUGGCAAUCAUAAGAAACAUCUGAAUAACAACGAUGAAUGGGAAACUAGUGUUGAAAUAGGAUUCAUUUUACUUAGCACCAGCUUAAUUUCCUUAGGAAGGGCUCAUGUCCAUUAGAAAAUGGAGUCAUCUUAUGUGCUUAAUUAUUUUCAGUUAAUUGUCAAGUUUAAGUGCCUAAUCAAGGCAAGUGUUGUUUCAGCCUAUGCUUAAUGCAAGCUAGGAUAGUGAUUUUAAAUAAUCACUAAAAUCACUAGAUUUAAAUAAUCACUAAAAUGAUUUGUGAGAAACUGGCACUUCAGAUAUUAUAUCCUUUAGCUAUAGGUUCUUCUCUCCCUAAGAACAUUAGAUAUUUUAGUUUUCCAGAACAAAAGCUUUAAACUUCUGCAGUAAGUUGAGAGAAGGGUUGAGAAGAGGAAAAGAACUUCUCAUUUUCUAUCAGAUAAGAAUCACAUUAGAAACUAAGUACAAGAUUAGACAACAAAUUAUGUGGUCAAAUAAUAUAGUCAUUAGCCACCUAAACAUUUUAAUUCCAGAUAUUAUUUAAUUCCAUAUAAUAACUGAAUUCUUGUGAGUGGAUUACAGGUUUUUGAUCCCAAAAUUCCAGAGCUUUCAACUCUCUGAAUUUGUAGUCCUGAAUAUCCCAGUGGUGGGGGUUCCCAGCAUUGUGGGUGCUACUUGCAAGGCCAUAGAAUCUAGAUGGCCCUGUCUUGACCCUGAAAUGAACCUUAAGCCUUAGAACAAAGUCAUGCAGAUGCCCCAUUUGAUAAUAAUCUUAUUCACCUGUGCUCUGGUCCUCGGUUUCUGCAUGUGUUAGCAUUGCAUUGAUAACUCAGAAUCUUGAUAAACACUUAAUAUUUGGGCCUGAAGCAUUAAACUUUCUUUUUAUUGUAUAUACUUAAAAAAUAGAACUCACUGCCCUAUCAUACAUUGUAGCCCUCUUAUUCUUUGGUCUUUCAUAUGCAUUAGUUAAAUCCCUUAAAGUAGACAUUCAUAAAAACUUACAUUGUUUAUUGGAGUAUAAAAUAUUACCCAAGUUUCUUCAUGAGUUGACAUGAGCUGUUUUAAAUACUGGUGUAUUUUCAGAACAGUAAAAUUACUGAAUAUCAGAAAAAAUGUUAAUUGAUGAUGAAGCUUAUUCCCAAAAUGCCUUUUGUGCAUAUGAUACUUGGAAAGUCACUAAUGUGCCUCAGUUAAUACAUCAGUAAAAUGUUGUGUUUCUUUUCCAGUGUAGUGUUUUUGGAAUAUAAAUUCCCCAUGCUAGUAUAGUAUCUCAGCAAAGAGAAUUUCCCCCCAGGAGGCUCAGUAAAGGAAUACCGUGUCUUACCCAUCGUUAUGAUGGAAGGCUGCUUUGAAAAUGGCUGUUUUACCUUAUAAGGUUAAAAUUUUGAUCCAUAUGUUAAGUGAUAGAAGAUUUUGGUGCAACAGUAGUAGGAUAUAUUUCUCCUAGAACAUCCCUUAUUGGCUUACAUGAUUUUAUUGCCUUUUAAUAGAUAUUUUGUCAUUUUGGCCAAACAAAAGACACUGAGUAGUUACACUUAAGUUAAAAAUGAGGGGAAAAUCAUUAUUUUAGGUGUGGAGCCAUUUUUAUUAUAAAACUUUCUCAAAAUAAAAAAACAUUGAAUCAUUUCAAUUUUUGCAGUCCCUGUAUUAGUAUAUGAAUACAUACUUGCCAUUUGAAUUAAUAACAUGAAAAGAGUAUACUGUGUUUUUAAAUCCGUGUUUCUUUGAAUUUAAAGGGUGUACAGGUCUUUCUGUAGGGAAAAUUAUUCCAUGUAAACAUUUCAACUCUGUAUGAAAAUGUUAAAUAUUGUAAGAAAGUUAUCCUCUCAUUUUUUCACUGCUAUGAUAUAUUUAUUAUAAAAUAGGGAAUGAAUGAAUGAAUAUGGAUUGCUGUUAACUAGAAACACUUCUGUAUGUCAGUCAGCAUUUAAUGACCACCUACUGUGUGCACAGCACUACUGGUAAAAUUUUGAAGACAUUGUUAACAUUAAAAAAUAUUUUAAAGUUGUCUACAAAUCUGAGCCUUGUAAUGAUGUAUAUUUAAGUUAUUUUUGUUUUUAUAGAUUAAAGUAAGAUUAAAAUAUACUAUCCAGUUUUAUUACUAAAAAAGACUGGUUUUAAUUUUACCAAUGUGUGAACUAUAAAAGCUUUUUGCCUACAGAUUUUACAUUUUAAAAUUAUCUAUGGCUGUUUUAAAUUGUCUAGCAAUUUAUAUGGUUGUGGUUAACUCAUUUAAGAAACAAUUAUCUUUCUAUAUUAAGCCAUUUUCAAAUAGCAAGACAGUGCUUGUCUUUUUUUGUUAUUACACUAACUGCAAUUCAGUAAGCUGCAUGACAAAAUAUGUAUUAUGUAAAUAAACUGGGUUUACUAAAUAUUUUUAACUGCUGCUUGUCAUUCUUUGUAAUACAUAACAGCUUUAAAAUCAUAUUUUAGAAUCAGGAACGAAGAUUCAGGGAAUGUCUGUCACAUCUUAUGGCAUCCCACCUGGACAGAAUAUCCGAUUUGAAGAUUGUGAUUGACUUCCGUAAAACUGUACAACUCUCCAUUUGGCAGGUACCUACUAGAUAAUACUUUGCCCUGUAUUAAAUGUCAAGGGGCAAAGCCUAUUCCUGUGAAUUCCUGCUGGUUGCUUUGCUGCAUUAGGUCCCUGUCCACUGUAAAUCAUCAUUCCUGGGAAUUCUACUUCUGCCCAAGUGUGUAAAGAAUCAGCUCACCUAUUAGAGAAGGGGUAGAAAUACCUUCUGUGUGCAUUAUCACAAUAACUGUGUUUACACUAAAGAGGUGUAAAUACAGUCCUCUGAAAUUUUGUACCAGAAUUCCCAAGUAGUGUAAUGAGAUAAUGAUCCAGAACUGAAACUACCCUUAAGAAAACAUUUUUGGAAGGGAGAGGUAAAUAGCAGUAGGGGGUUUCUUGUGAAAAAUUAACCUCCAUCCUUAAGAGGGCUGAAAUGAACAGCCACCAAGGUUCUAGUCCUGCUCUAUAAAAUCUGAGAUCAAAAUACUACCUAACCUGCACAUAAUCUCAAUUGUGACAACCAUCUGAACUAUCUCAUUUAAUAUGUAACAACAAAUACAAGCUCAAGCUUUCAAUAUGAGAAUAUUAACUACAUGUUACAUAUGAUGCUUGACCUGGGCUUCCUUAAAAAGGUAUUCGUUAUCCAAAAUAAAUAGCUCAAAUUGCAGCAUAUAUUCAUCUCAAGUAACUAUAACUGAAUUUGAACAGUAAUACACUGCAAACUAUUCUUUGUUAAUAGAACUUUUCUAAUCAUUUGUGUUAUUUUGCUUUGUACCAUUCAUUUUCAUUAAAAAGAUACAAAGCCCCUUUUUUUCACAUAACUUUAGAUAAAUGUUACAACUUCAGAAAAAGUUAAUUCAUAAAAAUAGGAUGAACCUUUCCACAGGCUACCAAAGACUCCAGUUUUUGGAAUAAUACAUAUUAUAACCUUGAUGCCAAGCUUAGUCCAUCAAUCCAAUAAAUAGGUUUUCUCUUUAAUGUGUCAUAGCCUCUUUUCUGAUAUAAUUGAGGAUUACAAUGUUAUUUAAGCAAAUAACCAGUAUUAAUUCAGCCAAAGAUGUUAUCAGUUUUAAAGAUUUUUAAAAAUUUAUAAUGUGGAAGCUGUAAAAUAAGUUAUUCAGAAGGCACUACACAAUAUUGUUUUUGCCUUACUGUCAUCACUCGAGUAUCAGUAAUUAUGACUCACUGAAAAAGUCGUGCUAUUAAGUGUUCUUGUGGCAAAAACUCUUAAGUCAAAUGGGUUUUCUUACCUAAAUUGUAAACUCUGAGCUCCUUAAGAAUAGGGAUCUAAUCUUAGCAACUUUUCUAUUCCACUAGCUGCUACAUAAUAGGUGCUUAAUGUUUGUGGUGUGAAUGAAAUAACUGAAUUUGAAUAGAAGUUUACAUCCAAAAGUCAUAAUAAGACAAAUAAUGAAAAACUCCAAAGUCACUGAUUAUAAAGAAUAUGCAAUCCAUUUGGGAUUUAUUGCAUUUAAAGAAAACAGAUUAAAACAGGUAUGAUAAAUACAGUAAGAAAAUAACUUUAAAUUUCAAACAAAACAGUGAAUCAGGGACAGAAUUCAGUCAAAAAGAAUAAGCAGUGUAAAGGCAAUAAAGUAAUAAAAUCAGUUAGUGCUUAAUUAGAUAUGGCAGGGGAAAAGGGGUGGGAGGGGGAGACUGAGUCUAUCUCAUAAUUGUUUCCCAGCUAUAUUUGAGGACUGAAGUUACUUUAGCAAGUAUGUUUUGUAACAAGUAGAAAUACAAUAAAGAUGUAAAUUUGCUUUAUUUAAAGGUUAAAGUUAUUUGCUUAGUGGUACAUAAAAGGCUUCAGAAAAUUCAAGUUUAACAAAAAAUGGAAGUGUAAUCAAAGAAAGUGCACUUAAAGCUGUUUGCCAGCAAUUAAAAAGUAGCUUCUAUACAGCUUCUAUUAGAUGACUUUUCAAUCACAAAAAGAGCAUAGUCAUAAAAACAAUUCUUUCAAAAGUAGCAGUAUAAAUUUUAAAAUAAAACAAAAAUAACCCCAAAUCAUGACCCUUUGCAUUAUCAUCUACCUUAUUCUCUUAGUAGCUUUUGUAAACCCUCACUAGGAGUGAAUGUUCUCUUAGAUAUGAUUGUGGUUGCAAUUCCAUUUUUUAAAAAUUCACAUUAACUCCACAGUAGAGAGAUGUGACAUGCAUGUGUGUACAUAUUUUUAUCUUAAUAUAUAAAACACCACUGAGUAUAAAAGUUCUCAAAUAAACUAUUCAUCAUUUAUGGUAUUCUCACAGUAGAUAUGUCAUCUCAUUCUCACAGUAGACUGUCAACUCAAUAAUUGGACCUAAAAUAACAAGUUUGCUAAAAAGAAAAAAAAAUGAGAAAAAAGUUUACUGCACAUUCUAAAUAUAUUAAAAACAAAUGUACCCAAGCGCCUCAAAACUAGUGAUAUUAAUACACUUGUACCUUCUAACAGUGCUUACGUGAAGUACCAAAACCUAAAAUAAACCAAGCAGAGUAGCUGACUUGUAAGAAAACUGCUCUGCCUGGUGAACUUCAGCAUAGAAGAGUGGGCUCCACCUUAGAUUUUCCACCAGCAAGAGGACAACAGUCUAUCACUCUUAAACAAUAAACAGGGUAAGACUGAAAGUUGUGUCUAUUUGCAAAUCCGGAUAAUGUCGUAACUAUACCCAACACGUACACAGGGAUUGGGGUAAGGGAAAAUAAUUACACUCCUGAAUAAAUGUUCUAGUCAGUUAAAUUUUCAUCCGGCCUACAACCUUUCCUCCUCCACCUAUUAUACUUACCAUGCAAUUUUUGUGUCUUAGCAGAUACAUUCUUCAAUGCCAUAAAAAGCUGAUCUUUUUAAUACUAACAUUUUACUGACGUGAUAUUAAAAUAAGCAAAUGGUCCACUUUUUAAAGGAUUAUUCAAAAUCAACAAGCAUUAUUAAAGCUGUUAAGAAACAACUUUGGCCUCAAGAUUUUUGCUAGCUUCAUAAUAAUUUACUUCUCUUAGUGAUGUUCAAGUAUAACAGGUUUAGUUAUAACUACAUCCUAAAGAAGCACAGGGGACACCCAAAUAAUAUUAGGGAAAAAAAACCCCAAAUAUAUAUAUAUAUAUAUAUUUGCUUAGUGGUACAUAUAUAAUAACCUUUCUUCCUUCCUUAAACCAGAAUUGAACCAUCCCAUAAUAGAGCCAAACUUUUAUUGAGUGCUGUGUGCCAGGUACUGUGUUAAGCACUUUCACAUAUCUUGGGAGCUUUAUUCUCAUAAUUCUCACAAGGGAAUAACCUGAGCAUCAGCUGUGUGGAGUGACCUACACCUUGACCAUGAUUCUGGGGGAUGAUGAAUGAAAAUGCAAAGUAUAAAUCUAUACUCCUUAGGAAAAUGCCUCUACUACAACACAAAGGAAUCUCUCCAUUUCUAUCCUAUUGAACCCCCAAUUGAAUCCUGUAUCUUUUCUCUGAGCUACAAUCUUGAAAGAAGAAAGUCACUGUGCUGUGUUAUAAGAAUGUAAAUAUUUUAUGCUGUCAGUUGUUUCCUCAGAAUUUAUAAGUCAAAGGGUCUACAUCAGUGUCAGAAUCAUUUAAAAUUAUUCAGUGUAUUGAAAAGCAAGUAAAACUCUAGGUAUUUCAUGUUUACAUCUGAAGGAGACAUUAGUUCAUCCUCUACCCCUUUUCUAAAUGAUGAAACUCAUGAGGUCUAGCAGAGACCAAGGACUAAUACAAUCAAGAAGCAUAUUGUGUACACCUCAACAGAUUUUCAUUAAAAAAAAUUGUUUGAUACAAACCUACUGUAGUUCAUGAAUUUACUAUGUGUAAUCAUCAACUCUUCACUUUUAAAAGAAAGUAUCACUUGAAUCUAUUUUGUAAAGUUUUUAAACAUCUACUUGAGCAUUUGCAUUAGCAGUAUUAAUCAACCUGAGAAUCAGAAAAAAAAAAAAAGGUGCAAACAUAUUUGCCUUUGGCACGAGGACAAGUAAUUGGUGCAGUCCAGCUCUAAAUAAUAAUGUAAUGCUUGGUCUGCCUCUGCUACAUUGUGAUUCACAUAUUGCUUCCCUAUCCACAAAUCUAUAUUUGAUUUAGCAUAUAAAAGAAGGGAAAAAGCAAUAAAAAGACAAAUAUGUGGUUUAGUUACAUAUACUUUGCUUCUUUCCAAGUUCAGAACUGUGAAAAUAGGCAAAUAGCUUAUCCCAUUGGGGCACUAUAAGAGAUUCCUAAUAAAAUUACUCGUAAAAUAUACUUUGAGAUCGAAGAGAGUUAAUUUAAAAUAUAAAAAUCAAAGAGAGUGCCAGUUGAUGAGUUUCUACUCCUUUCUGUAAAUAGCAUUAACUGUUCUAGAAACUUCCAAAUGUUAAUCUGAUAGCGCAGCACAAUUAUAUCUUAAAAUAGUCAUAGACACAGGAAGCACAGAUACUAUAUUCACAUUAAUUCACAUAUGUAAUCUCUAUCAUUAAAUGAUUUCUAUAAAACCUCAAGUUUCUAAUUAGGAUUUGUGGUGUAAAAAAAGGCAAAUUGGUAGCUGGGUUCUUUUCAGUAAAGACACAAUCAACUAGCAGAAUUAAGAUGCUAGUCCACCUUAUAUGCAUUUUAGGAUCUGGUAUAUUAGUGCAGAGGUACUUGCAGCAGGAUGCAUGAAUCCUGCCUUUAUAUAAGGCUUUGUGGGUGUCACCAUUCUGUGCACUUUAUUAAAACUACUCCACCCCCCAAAACCUAAUAAAAAUAAUUGUUGCUUAUGACUUGGGGAAUAUUUGGUGAAGUUGCUAAUAAAGUACAUUGUUAAAUGCAACAUGAUUUCACAUUGUAAAUGUCUUGAAAAUUCAGUUUCCGCUACAUAUUUUCUUCAUAAAAUAAAAUUUUUAUACAACCCUUGUCCUCCAAUUUUUCCAAUAAUCUGCUUUAUUAGGGCCAUCACAAUAAAAGUUUGGGGCAAGAAGCCAUGCAUAAAGUGUUUCUAAAGUAGUGAAUGUUUUCUGUUCUGUAUCUUUUUUUCUUCUUAUAAUUUCUUUACAAAUGUCAGAUAUUUCUCUUCAUAUUUUUGUUCUAGGCUUCUGUGCGACGAUAGUCCAUUUUUUUAAUUUGUUUUAACUGACAAAAAUUAUAUAUAUUUAUCAUGUAUAACAUUGUUUUGGAAUAUGUAAGUUGUGGAAUAGUUAAAUUGAGCUAAUUACACAUUAUUUCAUAUGCUUAUCAUUAGAUAUUCCAUUUUAAUGGCACUUGUUUUUAAAAAUGAAACAGAGUUUUAGGCACAAUAGUCAGUUACUUCUGGCUCUGCUUUGUGGAGAAAGGUGUAUGGACUGAAAUCUCUGCACUCUCCAGAUAAUAACUUUCUAAUGCUUUAAGAUAACUAGAUUGUUUUUAACUGUCUGGAAAUUAAAAGAGACCUUAAAAAAAAUUCACAAGUGUAACUAGUGUAUGUAGAAAUAACCCUAAUUUUAGGGAUAUGCACAUAAAAAUGACAUUCUGAUAUCAAAAAUAACAGUUUCACUGUCCCUUCUCAGUGGCUACACACCUAGAAAGGUGCCAUGUGCUUUCACUGGAAGUACCACACUUGCAUUUCUGUGUUGUGAUGUCAGUAGCAGAAACCCUUAGUUAGAGCUUGCAAUUUAGCUCCCUUUUCUCCUGAAGAGGAAUCAAGUUACUACCCUGUAGAGAUACUUCAUUCUUCUAUUUGGUUUAUUUAGAAAUCACCUAUUCUGACUGAUCUUUAAGAAUGAAUGCUAUAAAGAGCUACCAAAUUUUCUUUCAAAUUCAUAAAACUGUUCACACUUUUUUGAAACAGGAGUUAAUGCCGAGAAUCCAUCAGAAGUAUCUACUGUUUAGAAGGAAAUGGAGCAGCACCAAAUGGGUCUAAUUCGACUGGUUGGGACUGUUGGGACUGAUGUGGAGUGAUGCUUUGCACCACAAGUUCUGUAAAGGGCACGGCACCAAAAUCAUCCAUUUUCAAUACAUCUGCACUAUGGAAUGA